GCCUGGGUGGCUCAGUCGGUUGAGCGUCCGACUUCGGCUCAGGUCAUGAUCUCACAGCUCGUGAGUUCGAGCCCCACGUCGGGCU
rnacentral:tRNA from 1 species